rnacentral:rRNA from 1 species
UACGUAGGGUGCGAGCGUUGCCCGGAUUUAUUGGGCGUAAAGGGCGCGUAGGCGGUCACGCACGUCCGUUGUGAAAUCGCUCGGCUCAACUGGGCGGGGUCAGCGGAUACGGCGUGGCUGGAGCAAGCUAGGGGGCAACGGAAUUCCCGGUGUAGUGGUGGAAUGCGUAGAUAUCGGGAGGAACACCAGUGGCGAAGGCGGUUGCCUGGAGCUUUGCUGACGCUGAUGCGCGAAAGCGUGGGGAGCGAACAGG